rnacentral:rRNA from 1 species
AUCUCCCUCUGGCGGCAGGCCUAACACAUGCAAGUCGAACGAACUCUUCGGAGUUAGUGGCGGACGGGUGAGUAACACGUGGGAACGUGCCUUUAGGUUCGGAAUAACUCAGGGAAACUUGUGCUAAUACCGAAUGUGCCCUUCGGGGGAAAGAUUUAUCGCCUUUAGAGCGGCCCGCGUCUGAUUAGCUAGUUGGUGAGGUAAAGGCUCACCAAGGCGACGAUCAGUAGCUGGUCUGAGAGGAUGAUCAGCCACAUUGGGACUGAGACACGGCCCAAACUCCUACGGGAGGCAGCAGUGGGGAAUCUUGCGCAAUGGGCGAAAGCCUGACGCAGCCAUGCCGCGUGAAUGAUGAAGGUCUUAGGAUUGUAAAAUUCUUUCACCGGGGACGAUAAUGACGGUACCCGGAGAAGAAGCCCCGGCUAACUUCGUG